GAUGAACGCUGGCGGCGUGCCUAAUACAUGCAAGUCGAGCGAACAGACGAGGAGCUUGCUCCUCUGACGUUAGCGGCGGACGGGUGAGUAACACGUGGAUAACCUACCUAUAAGACUGGGAUAACUUCGGGAAACCGGAGCUAAUACCGGAUAAUAUAUUGAACCGCAUGGUUCAAUAGUGAAAGACGGUUUUGCUGUCACUUAUAGAUGGAUCCGCGCCGCAUUAGCUAGUUGGUAAGGUAACGGCUUACCAAGGCAACGAUGCGUAGCCGACCUGAGAGGGGGUACGGCCACAGUGGGAGUGAGCGGCGGUCCAGAGUCCUACGGGAGGCCGCGGUAGGGAAGCGUCGGAGAUGGGCGAAAGCUUGACGGAGCAGCGCCGGGUUGGUGAUGAAGGUCUGCGGAUCGUAAAACUCUGUUAGUAGUGAAGAACAAAUGUGUAAGGAACUAUGCACGUCUUGACGGUACCUGCUGAGAAAGCCACGGCUAACUACGUG
rnacentral:rRNA from 1 species